CACAGACGUGUGUGACAGAGAGAGUGAGGGGCUACUUCUUUCAUGCAGAAAGAGAGUGAGAGACACAUAGCCAAGGGAGUAGAGGAAAAAGUUUCAAUUUUCUUUCAUAUUGCAAGAACAACAACUUCCAAUAUGAAAUUUUCCGUUCGAUAUCUCUGUCAAAACUAUGAAUUCCAAGAAGUAUUGUGUCGUCCGAACACGGGAGUUGUCUUGCCACUAUUCACAUGUAAUGUUAUAGGUGAAUAGUAAUCAUUUUAUGUAUGGUAUAUGUGGAUUGUGUUUUUGUGAGUGACAUAGAUUAAUGUUAUUUAAUUGUUUGUUGUUAUUUAGUUACAAUGCAGGCGCAGAAAGAGGCUCCUCCAGACAUGCAAUGCAUGGACACUUAGUUUCUCCUUCAGAGUGUAAAAACCAAUGAUAGUGCAACUCCAAAGGAUAUUACUCCAGAAGUGGAAGAACGUGAGUUCCUUAUUCCGUCAACUAUGGUAUGAUGGCAUGAACCAUCAUGUUUUUACAAUUGGAACGUGUGAAGAUUCGAUAUUGUGAUGGAGCUUCACCUGCUGGAGAUGCAGUAUAUAAGAAUUGCGUGUGAAUGCGCGUGUGAAAUGAAUGACAGACAUCGUUGCUCUAUUUCAGAGGGUAAAAGCUUUGGGAAGCCAUCAUUCUUGAUCUUCUACCCAAAGGUUUAGGAAAGGCGCAUAAGGUAAAGCGAUCUCUAAUUUUGCUACGUAUAUAUUGAUCCUACAUGCUACUAUUCAGAUGCUUAUUAUUCCAUCUCUUUUCCAGGCUUAGUUAUCAGGUUGCUCUGAACAUGAUGAUUUAUUUAA